GAUGAAGAACGUAGCGAAAUGCGAUAAGUAGUGUGAAUUGCAGAAUUCAGUGAAUCAUCGAAUCUUUGAACGCACAUUGCGCCCCUUGGUAUUCCAUGGGGCAUGCCUGUUCGAGCGUCAUUUGUACCCUCAAGCUUUGCUUGGUGUUGGGCGUCUUGUCGUAUUACGACUCGCCUUAAAUACAUUGGCAGCCAGCACUUUGGCCUAGGAGCGCAGCACAUUUUGCGAUCGUAGCCCGUUGUACUGGCGUCCAUCAAGAACAUUUACCACGUUUGACCUCGGAUCAGGUAGGGAUACCCGCUGAACUUAAGCAUAUCAAUAAGCGGAGGA
rnacentral:misc_RNA from 1 species